GUUAAGCGACUAAGCGUACACGGUGGAUGCCCUGGCAGUCAGAGGCGAUGAAGGACGUGCUAAUCUGCGAUAAGCGUCGGUAAGGUGAUAUGAACCGUUAUAACCGGCGAUUUCCGAAUGGGGAAACCCAGUGUGUUUCGACACACUAUCAUUAACUGAAUCCAUAGGUUAAUGAGGCGAACCGGGGGAACUGAAACAUCUAAGUACCCCGAGGAAAAGAAAUCAACCGAGAUUCCCCCAGUAGCGGCGAGCGAACGGGGAGCAGCCCAGAGUCUGAAUCAGUGUGUGUGUUAGUGGAAGCGUCUGGAAAGGCGCGCGAUACAGGGUGACAGCCCCGUACACAAAAAUGCACAUGCUGUGAGCUCGAUGAGUAGGGCGGGACACGUGGUAUCCUGUCUGAAUAUGGGGGGACCAUCCUCCAAGGCUAAAUACUCCUGACUGACCGAUAGUGAACCAGUACCGUGAGGGAAAGGCGAAAAGAACCCCGGCGAGGGGAGUGAAAAAGAACCUGAAACCGUGUACGUACAAGCAGUGGGAGCCUCUUUUAUGGGGUGACUGCGUACCUUUUGUAUAAUGGGUCAGCGACUUAUAUUCUGUAGCAAGGUUAACCGAAUAGGGGAGCCGAAGGGAAACCGAGUCUUAACUGGGCGUUAAGUUGCAGGGUAUAGACCCGAAACCCGGUGAUCUAGCCAUGGGCAGGUUGAAGGUUGGGUAACACUAACUGGAGGACCGAACCGACUAAUGUUGAAAAAUUAGCGGAUGACUUGUGGCUGGGGGUGAAAGGCCAAUCAAACCGGGAGAUAGCUGGUUCUCCCCGAAAGCUAUUUAGGUAGCGCCUCGUGAAUUCAUCUCCGGGGGUAGAGCACUGUUUCGGCAAGGGGGUCAUCCCGACUUACCAACCCGAUGCAAACUGCGAAUACCGGAGAAUGUUAUCACGGGAGACACACGGCGGGUGCUAACGUCCGUCGUGAAGAGGGAAACAACCCAGACCGCCAGCUAAGGUCCCAAAGUCAUGGUUAAGUGGGAAACGAUGUGGGAAGGCCCAGACAGCCAGGAUGUUGGCUUAGAAGCAGCCAUCAUUUAAAGAAAGCGUAAUAGCUCACUGGUCGAGUCGGCCUGCGCGGAAGAUGUAACGGGGCUAAACCAUGCAC
rnacentral:rRNA from 1 species